rnacentral:rRNA from 1 species
GGCUACACACGUGCUACAAUGGGUAGAACAGAGAGUUGCAAAGCCGUGAGGUGAAGCUAAUCUCAGAAAACUAUUCUUAGUUCGGAUUGUACUCUGCAACUCGAGUACAUGAAGUUGGAAUCGCUAGUAAUCGCGAAUCAGCAAUGUCGCGGUGAAUACGUUCUCGGGUCUUGUACACACCGCCCGUCACACCACGAGAGUUGGUUGCACCUGAAGUAGCAGGCCUAACCGCAAGGAGGGAUGCUCCGAGGGUGUGAUUAGCGAUUGGGGUGAAGUCGUAACAAGGUAUCCGUACGGGAACGU